UGUUGCAUGAGUGUCUGCAUACUUGAGGAGGCGUACACUUUUUCCAGCUUUUGCAAAUGUUGUUUGUCCUGGAUAGACCUUCACCAUUUAGUCUAGUCUAGAGAUUCUAGAUGACAGGCUGAUAAUGGCCCUGGGCUGGCAGAGCUUGCUUUUAGGUUCUCUAGGUGCCUUGGCUGCUGUCUUUGUUCAGUGUUUGGGUGGGGAGCUCGCUGGGCUCUGCUAUUGGGCGCCACUCUCUGAGCUCUGCAAUCAGGCUGAGUUGCUGGUUAGUCCCAGCAAUCAUCUCCAAUCUGGCUGGGCCACAGAGUGCUUUCCCCAGCCAGGUGGUGCCAAUUUUUUAGUUCAGCAGCUGGACAGGUCUUCAGGAGGAUCCCUGAGGUUAGGUGGAGCUGCUGAUCAGGAUGGAUGGGACUAGCUGCUGGCCUCAGUAGGAAUUCAUGGUUGAGGUUUGCCUUCUCUGCCCAGGUGGAAACUUUGGGUGGGUUUUGAAGCUGAUCUGAGCACUGUUUAAACUCCCAUCUGUGGCAAAUCUAGCCUCUGCUCCUUUCUAAAUUUGCUGUAGCAUCUCUCUCCCUGGCUAGAGCACCAGGGUAUAUCAGAGGCCUGUUCUGGAAGUUGGCCAUGUAAGAUUUCAAGCCACAUGGAACUUCCCUUUACUUCUGGAAGUGACCAGGUCAACUCUGUGGGUGGGCCAUGCUGUUAGCUGUGGAUUACACAGUUAAACCUCUGACUGGGUGCCAACCUUGCCAAAUACCUGGAGUUACCAAGGUGUAUGCGCUGGUGACUGUGGGCUCGACCUCCUUGGCUUUGUUUCUGCCUGACCCCAGGUGAACUAGCUGUGUUAUUCCCUCCUGUGUUUCCCUUGAGGUUAGAAUAAAGUGGGUUCCUGGGAAGCAUCCCAGAAUGCAAGGGAAGCUGGAUGGCAGCCUGCAGUUCUCCUUUCCCUCCGCAGUCACCAUGGCCCCUGGGGAGUCAUCUCUGGUAGAACUGUGCUGACUUGGAGGAGCCUGAGGCAUGAAAUGAUCAAAUGAGACUGCCUGUCUUACCAUUUCCAUGGGGUUUUUAUACUGCUCUGUGGACCACACGGGUGACCAAGGCUUAUUUCCAAUUUUGAGAGUUUUCACCAAGGUGUUCUUGUUUGUGGACAGUUGCUAGUUGAAAUUUCUGUGGCAGGUACUGAAGGCUAGGACCUCUUAUUCUGCUGCCCUGCUUACAUCCUUCCUCCUAAUGUGUAAAAAGCACAUCCACCCCCCAGAAGUACAUGUUGAUACCUAGACGAGAUCUCACUAUCCUGGGCUGGAGGGGUCCUCCCACCUAAGCCUCCUGAGUAGCUGGGACAACUGGCAGAUGCCCCGGCUGUACCCUCAUUUCAACAUCCUUCCCUGAAUGGCAUUGGGACAAAUGACCUCCUCCUCACAAUAAAGAGCCCUUUGGUCUGCCACGUGACAGACCAGGUGUGAAUCACUCAAGCCACAUCUUUUCCAUGUGCUUUCCAAGUAAGGUACCCUUACGUACCAAGGAACAGCACAAAGGAAAUAAACGUUGCCAGCAUGGAACGUCUAGGACAGGACCCAGGUCAACGGACACUCAGCUUUCUUGAGAUAUCACUCAUGUAUCAUACUAUUCAUCCAUUUAGACUACACAAUUCAAAGGAUUUUAGUGUAUUCACAGUGUUGGUUGCACGAUCACCACCAUAAUCCAUGUGAGGGCAUUUCUAUCACUCCAAAAAGAAAUCACAGACCCAUAUCCCCACAAUUUCCCAGGAGGGAAGGAGAAGUGAGACGGAAGCAGAACUGCAUGACGCAAGGCAGGAGCCAUGAGGCAGGGCCACACGUGGCCCAGAGAAGUUGGAAAAAGCAAGGAAACAAAUCAUCCCUCCGAGCCUGCAGACAGGAAUGAAGCCCUGCCACCUCCUUGAUUUUAGCCUGUUGCACCCCAGGUCACAUUGCUGACCCACAGAACUAAAAGAUCAUACAUUUAUUUUAUUUUAAGCCCCCAAAUUUUUGGUAAACUGUAUAGCAGCAGCAAUA